CAGGUGGAGCAAGGAAGUGGCGCUUACUUUAGUGGCCUGCGUGAAAAGUACUUCGGUGAAAUUUUUUUAAAUGCUUCCUUUUCAUUGAGGGAUAUACCGAUGACAGGGUUAUCUACCACUUUUUCAAAGGAAGGUGAAAUCCAUUCUGACAAAUUGAUAUGGAAUGAUACAGCUGAUGUAGGUGCAAAAACAUGUGGGUAUGAUAUGAGGGGCACAGAUUUUGAGAAUUUCAAAAUGACAAAAGCUAAGUGUGAAGAAGGUUUAAAACAUAUAGCUCGAUUUGUAGAAUCUUUUGAAUCUGAGUCAAAUGAGAUAUGGCUUGUGUUCCACACUGAAGGUCUGUCCCUGUCAAAGCUGAUAUAUACUGCAGAGGAAAUGAACUCAGUAAACACUGAUGAAACGGGUGAAAAUGUGAAAAGAAUCCAGAUGGUGCAUCCAUCAAAAUGGUGGCAUUGGCUACGAACAACAGAAGCAGGAAAGAAGGAAAUGCAAGGUCUUGUAUGGCAAUUGCUGAUGGCUAUCAAAUCUUGUCAUGAUCGUAAUAUUACUCAUAGGGACAUAAAACCAGAGAACAUGGUAAUUUGUUUUGAAGAAGCGAAUAAAGGAAAUUGCUUGAGAGAGGUUCCACCUAUUGGGAGUACUCAAUUUCAUCUCAAAAUGCGCAUAAUUGACUUCGGAAGUGCAAUGGACGACUUUACUUUGAAGCAUCUUUAUGGAUCUGGACCAACAAGGUCAGAGCAGACUUUUGAGUACACUCCUCCAGAAGCACUUCUUAAUGCUAGCUGGUUUCAGGGACCAAGCAGCGUUAGAUUGAAAUAUGAUAUGUGGAGUGUGGGAGUUAUUAUGCUGGAGCUGAUACUUGGAUCCCCUCAUGUUUUCCAGAUUUCUGAUAGGACCCGUGCUUUACUUGAUCAGCAUCUUGAAGGCUGGAGUGAACCAACAAAGGAACUAGCUUACAAAUUGAGAUCAUACAUGGAGAUGUGCAUUUUAGUUCCUGGAAUUUCCCCUCAUAGUCACCAAAGAAAUGGAAUUAAAGACCAUGGUGGUGUGUGGCCAGCUUCCUGGAAAUGUUCUGAGGAGUCCUUCUCAAAUCAAGUCAAGAAUAGAGAUCCUCUUAAACUUGGUUUUCCUAAUAUUUGGGCAUUGCGGUUAGUGCGUCAGCUCCUAGUAUGGCAUCCUGAGGACCGUUUUAGUGUUGAUGAAGCCCUGCAACAUCCUUAUUUUGAUUCACGUCAUUGAUGAUAUACAAUGGUCGAGAAGAUUUGCAUUCAUAUCAUUUCAUGGUGAAUUGUAACGUUGUGUUACGGGCCGCUCAUUGCCUCUUGCGAGCGAUCUCUUGUGAAUUGCAAACUUUAUUGGAUUUGUUCGUAGGUCAUCAGCGGGUAUUCAAAAGUCACCAUCUUAGCUCGUGAAACAAUAUGCUAAUUACACUACCAAGAAUGUAUAAGAUCAAAGUUGAAUUAGGAGCAUGCAAAGUGGUUGCUGGUUCAAGUCCUACACCCCAAAAAACCCGAGAAAUUAUUAUGUGCGGAGUCCGGACGUAGAGUUACGUCC